UCUGCCUACGGGGGGCAGCAGUGAGGAAUAUUGGUCAAUGGGCGAGAGCCUGAACCAGCCAAGUCGCGUGAAGGAUGAAGGAUCUAUGGUUUGUAAACUUCUUUUAUAUGGGAAUAAAGUGAGGAACGUGUUCCUUUUUGUAUGUACCAUAUGAAUAAGCAUCGGCUAACUCCGUGCCAGCAGCCGCGGUAAUACGGAGGAUGCGAGCGUUAUCCGGAUUUACUGGGUUUAAAGGGUGCGCAGGCGGUCUGUUAAGUCAGCGGUCAAAGCCCGGGGCUCAACCCCGGCCCGCCGUUGAAACUGGC
rnacentral:rRNA from 1 species